rnacentral:rRNA from 1 species
GAUGAACGCUGGCGGCGUGCCUAAUACAUGCAAGUCGAGCGGACGGACGAGAAGCUUGCUUCUCUGAUGUUAGCGGCGGACGUGUGAGUAACACGUGUAUAACCUACCUAUAAGACUGGUAUAACUUCGGGAAACCGGCUCUUAUACCGUAGAAUAUUUUGAUCCGCAUUGUUCAAAAGAGAGAUACGGUCUUUCUGUCACUUAUAGAUGGUUCCGCGCUGCUUUAGCUAGUUGGUAAGUUAACGGCUUACCAAGGCAACGAUGCAUAGCCGAACGGAGAGGGUGAUAGGCAACCUUGGAAGUGAGCCACGGUCAAGACUCCUACGGGAGGCCGCAGUAGGGAAUCUUACGCAAUGGGCGAAAGCCUGGCGGAGCAACGCCAAGUGAGUGACAAAGGUCUCCGGAUCGUAAAACUCUGUUAUUAGGGAAGAACAGAUGUGUAAGUAAAUGUGCCCAUCUUGACGGUACCUAAUCAGAAAGCCACGGCUAACUACGUG